rnacentral:rRNA from 1 species
AGCGAACGCUGGCGGCAGGCCUAACACAUGCAAGUCGAACGAACUCUUCGGAGUUAGUGGCGGACGGGUGAGUAACACGUGGGAACGUGCCUUUUGGUUCGGAAUAACUCAGGGAAACUUGUGCUAAUACCGAAUGUGCCCUUCGGGGGAAAGAUUUAUCGCCAUUAGAGCGGCCCGCGUCUGAUUAGCUAGUUGGUGAGGUAACGGCGCAUCAAGGCGACGAUCAGUAGCUGGUCUGAGAGGAUGACCAGCCACACUGGGACUGAGACACGGCCCAGACUCCUACGGGAGGCAGCAGUGGGGAAUCUUGCGCAAUGGGCGAAAGCCUGACGCAGCCAUGCCGCGUGAAUGAUGAAGGUCUUAGGAUUGUAAAAUUCUUUCACCGGGGACGAUAAUGACGGUACCCGGAGAAGAAGCCCCGGCUAACUUCGUG